ensembl:lncRNA
UGUACACUAUGCUUUCAGGGUUGAGGACCAGACGUCAUACAGUAUCUGUCUGUGAUGGUCUGUCUCUCUGCCUUGUCCUGUCUACCUUUCUGCCUGUAUCUUGGCUUUUUUUUCUGCCCACCCUCGUCAGGUCUGUCCUCCACUCCUCCAGCCUUCAUGAAGAAAGGCCGGGCCAGGAAGGAGACGUUGGCAAGAGCGCCCACUGCUGACAGCACCGACUCAGAGGAAGAGUGGACACCCAGUUUGGAGAGGAGACCUCCAGCCUCUCGUACCUUCAGAGUUCCCGUCAAAACCCUUGGUGAGUCCAGAGUCGGCUCCGUGAGGCGCACCCAACCCCCAGCUCCUACCCUGCCAUCUCAGCCAAUCAGCAACAACACUUCACAGCCAAUCAGCGACGACAACAGGACUUCACAGCCAAGCGGCGAGAGCAGUCAGAUUUCUCAGCCAAUCGGAAAUAGAAACAGCAGUUUUCGACCAAUCAGCAGCAAUGCUCAGUGUCCUCAGGCCUUAGAGGUGGAUCCCACAGAACAGGCUAUAGAGACAGAGGAGAACAAACAGGUUUUGUAAAACACACA